CUCUGUUUCAGAAUGACUCAGGGCAGAAGGAG
rnacentral:ncRNA from 1 species